rfam:Gossypium hirsutum cultivar TM-1 chromosome 3, whole genome shotgun sequence
AAUCCAUGCAUCGAACACUUCUGAAUUAAAUCUUUAAAUCAUUCCUAAGCUUCACAUAAUGUUUCAUCCUCUAAUUGUCGAAAAGAUGUAAUAUCAUUUCUCAACUU